UACGUAGGGUGCGAGCGUUAAUCGGAAUUACUGGGCGUAAAGCGUGCGCAGGCGGUUUUGUAAGCCAGAUGUGAAAGCCCCGGGCUUAACCUGGGAAUGGCAUUUGGGACUGCAAGGCUGGAGUGUGGCAGAGGAGACUGGAAUUCCAGGUGUAGCGGUGAAAUGCGUAGAUAUCUGGAGGAACACCGGUGGCGAAGGCGGCAUCCUGGACCGACACUGACGCUGAGGAGCGAAAGCCAGGGGAGCAAACGGG
rnacentral:rRNA from 1 species